GUCGGGAGUUAGGAAAUGCAAGGAUGUUAAUAGCAUCUUUGCUUGACUAAGGCUCCGGAGAAAGCCACGGCUAACUCUGUGCCAGCAGCCGCGGUAAUACAGAGGCGGCAAGCGUUGUUCGGAAUUAUUGGGCGUAAAGAGCACGUAGGCGGCCGUGUAAGUCGGUUGUGAAAGCCUUCCGCUCAACGGGAGAACGGCAUCCGAUACUGCAUGGCUCGAGUGCGGGAGGGGAGAGUGGAACUUCUGG
rnacentral:rRNA from 1 species